UCUUAGCUUAUUUGCUUCCGCUGUGCAAUGAAGAUACCGGUCCAGUCACGCCAGCUCUGAUAAUUUCGGGGUGUGAAAGGAGAAGGGCGGCCCCCACUCUCAAAACCCUAACAACUCACUAAUCUCUCAAAUUGAAGGAUCAAAUCUAAUCCAAAACGAAAUCUGAGCUGAGAUUAGUGAUCCUCAUUGCAAGGGGAUUACAAGGUGGCUACGGUGAACUUACGGAUGGCGGUCAAGCAAAUGACGAAGAACCGAACACAACUUUUGAAGCUUCCGCGAUAUCUUAACUUUUAACAGACUAUGUUUAUGGGAUGUAAACGAAUUGCUAAACAAACCCUUUUCGCUCCGCUUGGCCUUAUCUCUCUCUAGGGGUAUUUUAGUGAUAGGUUCUAUAGGAACUGGACGAUCUUAUUUGGUCAAAUACCUAGCGAAAAACUCCUAUCUUCCUUUCAUUAUGGUAUUUCUGAACAAGUUCCUGGAUAACAAGUCUCAAGGUUUUGAUGAUAUCGAUAUUGACGAUCUUGACGCUAGUGACGAUCUUGAUGCUAGUGACGACCCUUCUUUGGUAGAAGUAAUUCUUUCUUGUAAAGAACCCAUUUCGGUACUAAGGGUAGGUUGAUAACCCACAGCGGAAGGCAUUCUACCCAACAAGGCGGAUACUUCAGAU